rnacentral:lncRNA from 1 species
CCAGAGUCCUCUGAAACACAGGCCAUCGAUGACUUCCUCUGCCCUGGACUUGUACCCAAGCUCCUUACCAGACCCCCAGGACCUGGCUUUGCCCACCUCUCUGCUGGAACCCCUCUCUGCCCUGGGGCAUUGGCACAUGCCACCCCCACGACCUGGGCCCAUGCUUCUGGGAUAGCUAGGUCGGACCAGCCUUCAGGCCUCGUACCCAUGUCCACCUUGGCACGGCCUCCCCACUGCCCCCUCGUUAGCCUAUCUCCUUCCACACGGUAGCCGACAUGGCACUGACUCCAGCGUGCCACCACACAUCAGGGAUUCUUAGAGGGGAAAGAAGAAGGCCAAUCCUGAGGGUUCCGAGGAAGGAACCGCCACGAAAGGGUGGAUGUUACAGAGACCAGCAUGAAGCAUCCACCAGCGACAUGGGCAGUGAUGCUGGUAACAAGCUCACCAUCGGGAAAGCACGCAAGAAGAGCCCAGGAUACACAGGCCCUCGGCAUCCAUGUCAUGCUGCGAUGCAUCCCAUAGAGCUCAGCCUUCCUGGUUCUAUUCCUCAGGAACUCGUGACUAUUUAGAUGAGUUCUCAGGUUUUAUUCUCAG